rfam:Rhodospirillum photometricum DSM 122 draft genome sequence
GGGCGCAUAGCUCAGUUGGUAGAGCAGCUGACUCUUAAUCAGCGGGCCGUAGGGGGCUACUUUGGAGCGUCUGCUGGUCACCCA